rnacentral:rRNA from 1 species
UACGGAGGGUGCAAGCGUUGUCCGGAUUUAUUGGGUUUAAAGGGUGCGUAGGCGGCCUCUUAAGUCAGUGGUGAAAGCCCGCGGCUCAACCGCGGAACUGCCCUGGAUACUGGCGAGCUUGAGUCCAGACGAGGUUGGCGGAAUGGAUGCUGUAGCGGUGAAAUGCAUAGAUAGCAUCCAGAACCCCGAUUGCGUAGGCAGCUGACUAGGCUGGUACUGACACUGAGGCACGAAAGCGUGGGGAGCGAACAGG